CCGUCGUAAGCACACCUCUAAAAGUCAGAGAAGUAUGCAAUAACGAUUAACUCUUAUACGUCAGGUCAAAGUGCAGCCCAUGGGGGGGGAGAUGAUGGGUUACACCCUAAACACAGAUACGAAGGAUAGCACUAAAAGCUAUGUAAAGGAGGACUUGGUUGUAACAAUAAUACAAUGCUAAAGUGAAUGUGAAUCUAAGACAUGCACACAUCGCCCGUCACUCUCGCCUAAAGGCGAGAUAAGUCGUAACAAAGUAGGUGUAACGGAAGUUGCCCCUGU
rnacentral:rRNA from 1 species